AACGAACGCUGGCGGCAGGCCUAACACAUGCAAGUCGAACGCCCCGCAAGGGGAGUGGCAGACGGGUGAGUAACGCGUGGGAACGUGCCCUUCGGUUCGGAAUAACUCAGGGAAACUUGAGCUAAUACCGGAUACGUCCGUAAGGAGAAAGAUUUAUCGCCGAAGGAUCGGCCCGCGUCGGAUUAGCUAGUUGGUGAGGUAACGGCCCACCAAGGCGACGAUCCGUAGCUGGUCUGAGAGGAUGANCAGCCACACUGGGACUGAGACACGGCCCAGACUCCUACGGGAGGCAGCAGUGGGGAAUAUUGGACAAUGGGCGAAAGCCUGAUCCAGCCAUGCCGCGUGAGUGAAGAAGGCCUUAGGGUUGUAAAGCUCUUUCAGCGGGGAANAUAAUGACGGUACCCGCAGAAGAAGCCCCGGCUAACUUCGUGCCAGCCCGCCGCGGUAAG
rnacentral:rRNA from 1 species